AAAUUAUAUAUUAAAUAUAUAAAAAAAAGUAUUUCAAAGGGGUUAUUAAGGAAAACUAAGGCAAAUUUAUAAAAAAGGAGGUUAUAAACCAAAAGCUUCAAGAAAUAUACACUAUUUUCUGAUAUGAACAAAAGCGAUCCUAAGGUAAACCUUGUUUAAACAAAUACUUCCUGAAGUAAAACAUUUUAUUAGGGAAAGGAAAGGAAAUCAACCGAGACUCUGAAAGUAAUGGUGAGUGAAAUCAGAUUAGCCUAAAUUAAUAUUAUAAAUUGAAUAACUUAAUUAUCUUAAUUAAAGAGUGGAUCUUUUGAUUUAUCAAUGGAAAUUACUUAUUAUUAAGUAUAUAUUAGUUAGCAUCUUUUUUUUUAAUAAUGGUUUAAGUACCAUAAUAAGAAAAUCUUUGCUCCAAAGAAGGUUCUAAAAUUCUAAGUCCUGUAGAUUUAUACUUUAAUUAAAAAAAGAAUAAAUUAAUAGAUAUAAAAUUAUUUAAUUAGAAAUAAAAAAUAAUUUGUUAAGUUAUAUUUUUUAAAUAAAAAAUCUCUAAUUAAAUUCUUUAAUUUCAAUAAUCAAUGUUCUUGUUUAAGUAUGAUGAGAGAAAACUUGUCAGAAUAUAGGGGAACCAUCCUCUAAGGCUAAGUAUUAUAAAUUUAGCGAUAGUGAAUAAGUACUGUAAAGGAAAAGUUUGAAAAGCGAGUGGUAUACAAAAAGUGAAUUUUUAAACCUUUUAUUUUAAAUAUUUCAUUAAUUACAACUAAUUUGGAAUUCCUUAAUUGGAUCUCAAAUAAAGUAUAAAAAUAUAAAAUAGGAAAAAUAAAGAUUAAAAAUGAAUCGAUGAAAUAGAUCAUGAAUUAGUAACUCUAUAAGCAGUCGAAAUUCUACUUUAAGAAAAAGAUGAAAGAAUGACGGCGUACCUUUUGCAUAAUGGGUCAGCAAGUUAAUAGGAGUAGCAAGGUUUAAAGCCCUAGCGAAAGCGACUGGACUAUAAUAUUAAAAAACAAAAACAGUACAAAAAAGUAUAAAUAUAGUGAUGGAUAAGUUACUUCUAUUAGACCCGAAGCCAGGUGAUCUUACCAAGACCAGAUUAUAAUGGAUCGAACGGGUGAAUGUUGCAUAAUUCUCCGAUGAGUUUUGGUAAGCGGUGAAAUGCCAAUCUGACCUGGUGCUAGCUGGUUUUCUACCGAAACAUAUUUAAGUAUGAUGUCUACACAAAAUUUAUGGAGGUACAGCAAGGCAAUUCCCAACAAGUUUAAGAGUUGUGAUUAAAAUUAAAAAUAAAAAAAUAAAUCACUUCAAUCUUUUAGGCGUUUAGGUUGUGGGGACCUCGGAAAUCUUACCUUUGGAAGCGAAUCUCGGAAUUACAUAAAUUGGUGGUAGAUAUUCAGACUACUCAUGCUAAGUUGGGUAGUCAAGACGGAAACAGCCGAGAACACUGAUCAAGGUCCCAAAUGAUUGUUAAGUGAAAUUAAGGAUGUAGCAAUAUCAUAUACAGCUGUGAAGUGAGCCUGGUAGUCGCUACUUAUAAUGAUCGUAUGUAACAACGCAUCAGCAGUCUAGAUAGUAGCACCGAAAAUUUAACGGGUCUUAAACAAUCAACCGAUAUCGUGUUGAUUUUGAAUAAAAUUAUUUAAAUUGAUAGUUAAUAUCUUUUCAAUUUAUUCUUAAUCUAGGUAGUAGAACAUUCAGUCAAACUAAUAAUAAAAUAGUGUUUCAUUGUUUUUUAGGUUACUGAAGAGAGAAUGCUGACAUGAGUAACGUAAAAAGAAGUUAUAAUACUUCUCGCCGAAUACAAAAGGGUUGCAAAUUGGAAAGGUUAAUCCGUUUUGUGUGAAUGCGGCCUCUAAGGACCAAAACCAAAGUUUUGGCUGAUGAGUCUAUAAUAGAAAGUCCAUUGAUUUAAAAUAAUGGUCCAAGAAAAUAAUAUUAUAAGUCCUUUAUUUUAAGAUAAAAUUCUUUUUAAAAUUAAAAUAAUCUCUAAAAUAAAAAUAUUCUUAUUUUACUCAUUCUAUACAUAUCUCUAAUAGUGUCUAGAUAAAUUUAGAUUAAUUAAUUAAAAAAUUAUUAUUAUUUAUUAGAUUAAUAGUCUUUGAAAAUAAUUUUAGAUAAGUUAUUAUUAUUAAUUUUUAUUAUUUUUUUAAUUUAAAGAAUAUUCUAAUAGGGAUAAAGAUGUAGAAUUUGGAAAAGCUUAUUUAUAUUUAUUUAGAUUGAAAUUUGGAAUUAUAUCUUAUAAUUUAGGACUUUAUUUUAUAUUUAUUAAAUUUGGCUAAUGUGCCAGACAAAUGUUAGUUAUUAUAAUUAUUUAUAAUAUAAAAAUUACAGAUUAUUUUAAAAAUUAAUCUCUGCAAAUAUCCUUAUCUAUUUGAUUAUAGUUGGGACUAUGUGGUGAUAAUAUAAAUCUAGAAAUCUAUAUAGGAUCCUAUUGAAGAGAUCUUUGUCUAAAUUAAUUAUUAGUUAGUUUAGAAUAUAGUCAUGAUUUAUGAUUAAAUCAGGGUUUUUCAUGUAUAUUAUUUCAGAUUACCAAUGAUUAAUCUAAAUUCUGACACUAAGGUUUAUUUUGUUGAUUUGAGUCUCUAAAUUCUAUAUUUGAAAGAUUUAUUUGUUUAUGUUUAAAAAAUAUAAAUGAAAAAAUUAAAAUCCAUUUGUCAUGUCUAAUGAUAAAGAGAGAUAUUACCUCCUCCCUAUUUGGAUUAUAUUAUUGUGUUAAUUCCUGGUUAAAAAUGUUCAUUAAUUUGAUAUUUAUAUAACUAGGAAAAAUAAUCAGAUUAGUGAAAUAAUCAGAAAAAGAUAACUAUCCGGUUUCUUAAUAUCACAUUUAUCCCAAAUGAAUGUGUUAUCACUAAUUUAAGUAGAUUAUUUAUUUUUAAUUAUAAUUUCUCUCAAAAAAAUAGAUUGAAGGAUAUCUUUUUUAUUUUGUUUAGUUUAUAUUUAUUAUUUGUUAUUAGUUAAUUUAACUUAACUAUUUAAUUUAACUUUCAAUUGCUAAAAUAAUAACUCAUUUUAAAUAUAACUUUAAUAUAUUUCAAAAAUAUUUAAAUAGGGUUUAAGAAAAAAUUAAAAUUUCAUAAACAAAAUAAAUUUGUUGUUUCUAUUCCUCUAUUUGUUUAGAAUAAAUAUUAGUUAUUAAUAUUUACUAAAAAUAUCUUAAAUAUAAUCUAUUAAACUACCGUACCCUAAACCGACACAGGUUUGUAGGUAGAGAAUACUAAGGCGUAGAGCUAAAAGUUGUUAAGGAACUCGGCAAGUUCACCUCAUAAGUUUGACGAAAAGAGGGACCACAAAUAUAAAUUAAUAUUUAACAGUCCGGAUUGUUAAAUUAAUUAAAUUAAUUAAAUAAUUAUAUUAAUUAUAUAAGGUGGUGGCACAAAAUCGGAGGCCCCGACUGUUUACUAAAAACACAACACAGUGCAAUCAUUAAUAUGAUAGUAUACUGUGUGAAAUUUGCCCGAUGCCAUUAAUAUAAGAGCGGUUAUAGGGAACUGUGACUAAUCGAAAAUCUGGUUAAUAGCGGUCUUAACUAUGAGGAUCCUAAGGUAGCAAAAUCAGUUGGCCAUUAAAUGUGGUCCGGUAUCAAUAAUGUAACGAUGGCCUCACUGUCUCUACAACUUGCUCAGUGAAAUUGAAUUACACGUGCAGAUGCGUGUUGCCUCCAGGGGGACGGGAAGACCCUAUGCAGCUUUACUGUAGUUAGUUAUCACAUGAAUCUAGAACAAUCUUAUUUAAUAGUAAAUAGGGAAGUCGAGAGACAAUUAUAAUUAUAAUUAUAAUUAUUUGGAAACCUUAUAAUUAAGAUUGGGUUUAUGUUUACCUUAUAAUUAAAAAAAAAAGGGAGAGUUGACUAAUUGGCAGUUUGACUGGGGCGGUCGUCUUUAAUAGAGUAGCAAAGUACAUCCAAAUAUUUAUAACAUAUUAGGUAAUAAGACCUAAAAUCUCAAUUUAAGAAAUAAAUUAAUUGUCAAAAAAAAGAGUAAUAUAUUUAAUUUAAUAGUUAAAUAAAAAUCUUUAAGAGCCUUUAAUCUGGAAUUGAGAUUAAAACAAAUAAUUUAUUCUCUUUUGUUGUAAUAUUAAAAUUUAUAUUAAAAGAGAAAAAUAACAAUUAAUAGAUAACUACAAAUAUCUUAAUAUUCAUUAUUAUUUGUAAAAAUUUAUAGUGACUAAUAAGAGAUUAAGUAGCUAAAAUCAUUUUAUUAAUUAACAAAUAAAAUAAAAACUUUCUCUUUAGCUUCUUAUCAGACCCUCCGGCUUUAGCUUGAGGGAUUGUUUACUAUUUUCUUUUUAUAAAUGUGGCCUAUUAGCCUUAUUUUAAUUAGAAUAAUGAAAGCCUUAAGCCUUAAAUGGUUUACUGAUACAGAAAGUGAGCCCUUACUCCCUCAAUACCUUUAAGUUAUAUAUCCAUAUAAUAUAGAGGAAAUAAAUCUUGAGGAAAAACUAUGUUUAACAAAGUAGGUAAGGGACAAGAGUUUGGCUAAAAAUAAUAAUAUACUAAAAAUUUUUAAAAGGUAUAGCUAGAUAUUGAAUGGAGAUCAAUCAACCAGUGAAGGGUUGCGCAGAGUUCAAUGGCGGUAAGCAUGCUUAACUGAAAGACCUAAAAGUCACACAGAUACGUAAGUAGGGCAUAGUGACCCCUCGCUAUAAUAUGGGAUAGACGGGGAUCAAUUAAUAAAAGUUACGCUAGGGAUAACAGGCUGAUAGCCGACGAGAGUACACAUUGUCUCGGCUGUUUGGCACCUCGAUGUCGACUCAUCCUAUCCUCCGGGGGAAGAAGCUUGGAAGGGUUCGGCUGUUCGCCGAUUAAAAGGGUACGUGAGUUGGGUUUAAUACGACGUGAGUCAGUAUGGUCCCUAUCUUCUGGAGGGAUAAGUAGUAAAAAGGGGCAGACCUUCUAGUACGAAAGGAUCAAUAGGCUGUGUUUCUCUAGUGUACCAAUUGUUUCUAUUUUAUUGUAAGGGACUCAAAGUAUCUUGAAGACAAAAUUAAAGAAAAAUGGGGAAAAUCCUUUGUAAACUGUUUAGUUUACUCUUAAUAAUUAAUAUUUAUUGAGAAAAAGGUCACAAUUUCAGAAUGCAUAGUUGGGUAGCCACAAACAUAAUAGAUAAGUGCUGAAUGUCUAUAAAGCAAGAAUCUAACCCCUAGAUACUAAAAAAUGAUUAGUUUAGUUACUUUCUUGUAGACUUGAUAAGAGAAUCUAAAACAAGGUAAUAAUUUAUCAUUAAUUAAGAAAUAGAACAUUUCUAGAUAGGCUGCAAAUGC
rnacentral:rRNA from 1 species